AAGUCCAGGGUUAAAACCAAAUAAAUCGACUACGCAUGUAGAACUGGUUGCGGAGGGCUUGCGGACGGGGGUUCAAUUCCCCCCGGCUCCACCAGAUUAGCAAGUCCUGCCUUGUGCAGGAUUAUCUGCCCUCAAGUACGAAUGGCCGCCCGGCAUUAUGCCGGGCGGCUUUUUCUUUAGCCGGACGGUUCAUCCCGGCCGUGUGCCGCGCCCCGGGAAAGCCGGCGGGGCGGCGGAGGCCGGCUUCCGGCCCACGGCAACCCGGGCCCGAUGCUUCAAUACUUGAAGCUCACGCGCGCCCAGAACGUGCGGCCGGGCUCGUUCACCGCCGUAUUGGCGGCGUAGCCGAAGCCGGCGUUCCCCGCGAGGUUCAGGUGCUCGCUGUAGGUCUUGUCGAACAGAUUGUCCACGCCCAUCGACAGCUGGACCUGCUUAUUGACCGCGUAGCCGCCAUUGAUGGAGAACACGCCGAAGCCGGCGCUGGGGCCGAAGUCCUUGCCGACCACGUUGCCUUCGUUCAAGGCGUAGCG
rnacentral:tmRNA from 1 species